GUUUCGAGGCAAGUUGGUGGUGUCGCUGGUAAGUAUAUGUUAAAAGCGUUGAUUUUAAUUUAAUUUCUUGUUAUUUCUUAGUUCACAGUUCGUCGAAUGACUGCAGAAUAUAUCGCCGGAAGAAUCUGCUGCCGAAAUCGUUUCUACACAGCUUGGUGACGACUGCUGACCGAACCUUACGAGCGGUCUUCAUCAGUAAACCAGUGCUGCAUGAGGCUGCGGUGCCGUUGGACGCUGGAGAACGGUGUAUGUAUGUAUAGUGGUGU